UCUUUGGUCUAGUGACAUCUAGAGGCAGUCAUGGGCACUUACACAAUUUCCUCUCUGAGUGUGUGACAACAAUGACCUUGAGCACUAUGUAUGCUUACAAAUUGUUGUUUUCACACAGGCUUCUUAAAUCUUGCCUGUUUGGAUGUAUGUAUUUGGUGUGUGUGUAUGUGUGCUGUCUAGCUGGCAGCCUUUUUAUAGUGGAGUGCUUUUGCAGAGCAACAUUGUGAAAAUUAGUUUUAUACUGAAACACCUACUAGCUCUAAGCAUUUGUCUUCCGAAACACGGUUACGUUUACCACUGAGUAUCUCCAGUCUUUUGUAAAGGCUUUUGUAAAAGAAUGAUUCAGCAACAUCAAGAUGGCUUUGUGUUAAUUAUAUUGUAAUGACUACUGGGGUUAAAAUUUGUCCAUAAUGCCUGGGGCUGGAACAACAGAAAAUGCAGUUGGGUAAUUAGAAUAAUAAGUGAAACCAGUAAUAAACCAAGUUUUAAAGGAAAUGACGGGAAGUCAAAAGGCAGCAGUGAGAACUUUUUUACUGAAUAAUACAUACUAUCAUAUAUUUUCAUCAUCUACAGACCACAUAUAUUUGGAAGACUAGAAUAAAGUUUUGGUCAGUUGGAAACAUGAACCUGAAGGUGAUACUAGAUGCAAGAUCAGAUGGUCAAAGGAGUCAUCAUCUGGGUACCAUGAACAUCAGUCUCAAAUUUUAUGGAAACCUUUCCAGUAGUUGUCAGUGCCAGUUGAAUGAACCUGAAACCUGAACAUGGGCAUGAACCCUGCACCUGCCUACGUGCCUGUAAAUCCCUGAACUCCUCCUCUUUGCUUGCCUCCUGCUCUGCACUAUAGGACUGACUGUCUAGCCACCUGCCUUGACAUAGGGUAUUCUAAAGCAGCUCUGCCUUCACAUCGAGCCUGCCUGUGCUCUAGAGCAGCUCUGCCUAUCUGCCUAGCCUUCUGAUAGUUCUCCACAAUGGCUCCACCUGUCUGCCUGUUUUUUCCAGUUGUCCUUCUUAACAGCUCAGCUCUGCCACUGUCCAGUUCUCCACCGUUGCCCUUGAGUUCUCCUGUUCUACUACUCUUCAGUCCCCAGGCCACCCAUCCCUUUGGAUCCCUCUGAACUCUUAACCUCCUACCUAUGUCCCUAAAAGCUUAUGAACCUUGAAUUUAUCAGUAAACCCCUGAACUCCUCUGUUCUGCCUAGUCUGUUCGCAUUUGGGUCCGCCCCCGGCUGCCUUGCACUCAUAUCUGUAGAUCACAGUGCUACUUACUAAUGGUACUAAUGAAACCCUGCUACAUGCACAGAAAGAGCAAGUAGCAUAUUGCACUGACAGCAGGUGUCAGUUUAUGAUGACCCCAAAAGGCAAGUGUACAAUAUUCUGCAGGAGAGUUAUUUAUUUGGAGAAAAAUAUAUGGGACCCAAAAUGGAGCCUUGUGGCACACCAAAAGACAGAGAAGCAGUUAAUACAUGAACGUAAUAAUGGAUACCUGACAUAAAUACACUGUACUUAGGUACUUAGGUUGUUCUUAGGUUGAGGAG